rnacentral:rRNA from 1 species
UGAGGAAUUUUGCGCAAUGGGGGAAACCCUGACGCAGCAACGCCGCUUAAGUUAUGGAGGCUUUCGCCUCGUUAGGCUCUGUCAAGUUCCAAGAAACUAUAGAAUGCUAAUAUCAUUCUGUACUGACGGUACCACUGAAGGAAGCACCGGCUAACUCCGUG